AGAGUUUGAUCAUGGCUCAGGACGAACGCUGGCGGCGUGCCUAAUACAUGCAAGUCGAGCGGACGAAUCGAAAGCUUGCUUUUGAUUCGUUAGCGGCGGACGGGUGAGUAACACGUGGGCAACCUGCCCUGUAGACGGGGAUAACACCGAGAAAUCGGUGCUAAUACCGGAUAACACGAAAUGUCGCAUGACGUUUCGUUGAAAGACGGCGCAAGCUGUCGCUACAGGAUGGGCCCGCGGCGCAUUAGCUAGUUGGUGAGGUAACGGCUCACCAAGGCGACGAUGCGUAGCCGACCUGAGAGGGUGAUCGGCCACACUGGGACUGAGACACGGCCCAGACUCCUACGGGAGGCAGCAGUAGGGAAUCUUCCGCAAUGGACGAAAGUCUGUCGGAGCAACGCCGCGUGAGCGAAGAAGGCCUUCGGGUCGUAAAGCUCUGUUGUUAGGGAAGAACAAGUAACGCAGUAACUGGCGUUAUCGUGACGGUACCUAACGAGAAAGCCACGGCUAACUACGUGCCAGCAGCCGCGGUAAUACGUAGGUGGCAAGCGUUGUCCGGAAUUAUUGGGCGUAAAGCGCGCGCAGGCGGUUCCUUAAGUCUGAUGUGAAAGCCCACGGCUCAACCGUGGAGGGUCAUUGGAAACUGGGGGACUUGAGUGCAGAAGAGGAGAGCGGAAUUCCACGUGUAGCGGUGAAAUGCGUAGAGAUGUGGAGGAACACCAGUGGCGAAGGCGGCUCUCUGGUCUGUAACUGACGCUGAGGCGCGAAAGCGUGGGGAGCAAACAGGAUUAGAUACCCUG
rnacentral:rRNA from 1 species